rnacentral:rRNA from 1 species
UAAUACGUAGGGAGCGAGCGUUGUCCGGAAUUACUGGGCGUAAAGGGUGCGUAGGCGGUUUGGCAAGUCAGAUGUGAAAUCCCCGGGCUUAACUCGGGUGGUGCAUUUGAAACUGCUGAACUUGAGUGCAGGAGAGGAAAGCGGAAUUCCUAGUGUAGCGGUGAAAUGCGUAGAUAUUAGGAGGAACACCAGUGGCGAAGGCGGCUUUCUGGACUGUAACUGACGCUGAGGCACGAAAGCGUGGGGAGCAAACAGG